rnacentral:rRNA from 1 species
GCCGAGCGGUAGAGAUCUUUCGGGAUCUUGAGAGCGGCGUACGGGUGCGGAACACGUGUGCAACCUGCCUUUAUCUGGGGGAUAGCCUUUCGAAAGGAAGAUUAAUACCCCAUAAUAUAUUGAAUGGCAUCAUUUGAUAUUGAAAACUCCGGUGGAUAGAGAUGGGCACGCGCAAGAUUAGAUAGUUGGUGAGGUAACGGCUCACCAAGUCAGCGAUCUUUAGGGGGCCUGAGAGGGUGAUCCCCCACACUGGUACUGAGACACGGACCAGACUCCUACGGGAGGCAGCAGUGAGGAAUAUUGGACAAUGGGUGAGAGCCUGAUCCAGCCAUCCCGCGUGAAGGACGACGGCCCUAUGGGUUGUAAACUUCUUUUGUAUAGGGAUAAACCUACCCUCGUGAGGGUAGCUGAAGGUACUAUACGAAUAAGCACCGGCUAACUCCGUGCCAGCAGCCGCGGUAAUACGGAGGGUGCAAGCGUUAUCCGGAUUUAUUGGGUUUAAAGGGUCCGUAGGCUGAUUUGUAAGUCAGUGGUGAAAUCUCACAGCUUAACUGUGAAACUGCCAUUGAUACUGCAAGUCUUGAGUGUUGUUGAAGUAGCUGGAAUAAGUAGUGUAGCGGUGAAAUGCAUAGAUAUUACUUAGAACACCAAUUGCGAAGGCAGGUUACUAAGCAACAACUGACGCUGAUGGACGAAAGCGUGGGGAGCGAACAGGAUUAGAUACCCUGGUAGUCCACGCCGUAAACGAUGCUAACUCGUUUUUGGGCUUUUGGGUUCAGAGACUAAGCGAAAGUGAUAAGUUAGCCACCUGGGGAGUACGAACGCAAGUUUGAAACUCAAAGGAAUUGACGGGGGCCCGCACAAGCGGUGGAUUAUGUGGUUUAAUUCGAUGAUACGCGAGGAACCUUACCAAGGCUUAAAUGGGAAAUGACAGGCUUAGAAAUAGGCUUUUCUUCGGACAUUUUUCAAGGUGCUGCAUGGUUGUCGUCAGCUCGUGCCGUGAGGUGUUAGGUUAAGUCCUGCAACGAGCGCAACCCCUGUCACUAGUUGCCAUCAUUAAGUUGGGGACUCUAGUGAGACUGCCUACGCAAGUAGAGAGGAAGGUGGGGAUGACGUCAAAUCAUCACGGCCCUUACGCCUUGGGCCACACACGUAAUACAAUGGCCGGUACAGAGGGCAGCUACACUGCGAAGUGAUGCAAAUCUCGAAAGCCGGUCUCAGUUCGGAUUGGAGUCUGCAACUCGACUCUAUGAAGCUGGAAUCGCUAGUAAUCGCGCAUCAGCCAUGGCGCGGUGAAUACGUUCCCGGGCCUUGUACACACCGCCCGUCAAGCCAUGGAAGUCUGGGGUA